rnacentral:SRP_RNA from 1 species
GCCGGGCGCGGUGGCUCGUGCCUGUAGUCCCAGCUACUCGGGAGGCUGAGGUGGGAGGAUUGCUUGAGCCCAGGCGUUCUGGGCUGUAAUGCGCUAUGCCGAUCGGGUGUCCGCACUAAGUUUGGCAUCAAUAUGGUGACCUCCCAGGAGUGGGGGACCACCAGGUUGCCUAAGGAGGGGUGAACCGGCCCAGGUCGGAAAUGGAGCAGGUCAAAAACUGCCGUGCUGAUCAGUAGUGGGGUCGCGCCUGUGAAUAGCCACUGCACUCCAGCCUAGGCAACAUAGCAAGACCCCGUCUCU